rnacentral:rRNA from 1 species
GAUGAACGCUGGCGGCGUGCCUAAUACAUGCAAGUCGAGCGAACGGACGAGAAGCUUGCUUCUCUGAUGUUAGCGGCGGACGGGUGAGUAACACGUGGAUAACCUACCUAUAAGACUGGGAUAACUUCGGGAAACCGGAGCUAAUACCGUAUAAUAUUUUGAACCGCAUGGUUCAAAAGUGAAAGACGGUCUUGCUGUCACUUAUAGAUGGAUCCGCGCUGCAUUAGCUAGUUGGUAAGGUAACGGCUUACCAAGGCAACGAUGCAUAGCCGACCUGAGAGGGUGAUCGGCCACACUGGAACUCAGACACGGUCCAGACUCCUACGGGAGGCAGCAGUAGGGAAUCUUCCGCAAUGGGCGAAAGCCUGACGGAGCAACGCCGCGUGAGUGAUGAAGGUCUUCGGAUCGUAAAACUCUGUUAUUAGGGAAGAACAUAUGUGUAAGUAACUGUGCACAUCUUGACGGUACCUAAUCAGAAAGCAACGGCUAACUACGUG